rnacentral:rRNA from 1 species
GCCAGACUCCUACGGGAGGCAGCAGUGGGGGAUAUUGCACAAUGGGCGAAAGCCUGGUGCAGCGACGCCGCGUGAGGGAAGACGGUCUUCGGAUUGUAAACCUCUGUCUUUGGGGAAGAAUAGAGACGGUACCCAAAGAGGAAGCUCCGGCUAACUACGUGCCAGCAGCCGCGGUAAUACGUAGGGAGCGAGCGUUGUCCGGAAUUACUGGGUGUAAAGGGAGCGUAGGCGGGCUUGUAAGUUGAAUGUCUAAUCCACCGGCUCAACCGGUGAUCGCGUUCAAAACUGCAGGUCUUGAGUGAAGUAGAGGCAGGCGGAAUUCCUAGUGUAGCGGUGAAAUGCGUAGAUAUUAGGAGGAACACCAGUGGCGAAGGCGACUUUCUGGACUGUACCUAACGCUGAGGCGCGAAAGCGUGGGUAGCGAACGGGAUUAGAUACCCUAGUACU